rnacentral:rRNA from 1 species
AUUGAACGCUGGCGGAAUGCUUUACACAUGCAAGUCGAACGGCAGCACGGACUUCGGUCUGGUGGCGAGUGGCGAACGGGUGAGUAAUACAUCGGAACGCGUCCUGUAAUGGGGGAUAACCUGGCGAAAGCCAGGCUAAUACCGCAUACGUCCUGAGGGAGAAAGCGGGGGAUCGCAAGACCUCGCGUUAUAGGAGCGGCCGAUGUCGGAUUAGCUAGUUGGUGGGGUAAAGGCCUACCAAGGCGACGAUCUGUAGCGGGUCUGAGAGGACGGCCCGCCACACUGGGACUGAGACACGGCCCAGACUCCUACGGGAGGCAGCAGUGGGGGAAUUUUGGACAAUGGGGGCAACCCUGAUCCAGCCAUUCCGCGUGAGUGAAGAAGGCCUC